CAACUGGGGGAUAGCCCGCCGAAAGGCGGAUUAAUACCGCAUAAGACUACAGAGGGGCAUCUCUUAGUAGUUAAAGAUUUAUUGGUUUUGGAUGGGGUUGCGUAGCAUUAGCUAGUUGGCGGGGUAAGGGCCCACCAAGGCGACGAUGCUUAGGGGACCUGAGAGGGUGAUCCCCCACACUGGCACUGAGAUACGGGCCAGACUCCUACGGGAGGCAGCAGUAGGGAAUAUUGGGCAAUGGGCGCGAGCCUGACCCAGCCAUGCCGCGUGCCGGAUGAAGGCCUUCUGGGUUGUAAACGGCUUUUCUCAGGGAAGAAAAAGAGGAUGCGUCCUACACUGACGGUACCUGAGGAAUAAGCACCGGCUAACUCCCGUGCCAGCAGCCGCGGUAAUACGGAGGGUGCAAGCGUUGUCCGGAUUUAUUGGGUUUAAAGGGUGCGUAGGUGGCCUGGUAAGUCCGUGGUGAAAGC
rnacentral:rRNA from 1 species